UACGGGGGGGGCAAGCGUUGUUCGGAAUUACUGGGCGUAAAGGGCUCGUAGGCGGCCAACUAAGUCAGACGUGAAAUCCCUCGGCUUAACCGGGGAACUGCGUCUGAUACUGGAUGGCUUGAGAUUGGGAGAGGGAUGCGGAAUUCCAGGUGUAGCGGUGAAAUGCGUAGAUAUCUGGAGGAACACCGGUGGCGAAGGCGGCCAACUGGACGAGCACUGACGCUGAGGCGCGAAAGCGUGGGGAGCAAACAGG
rnacentral:rRNA from 1 species